GCCCAUUGAAUAAUUUUUUAAAAGGCCGCAGUAUUCUGACUGUGCUAAGGUAGCGUAAUCAACUGUCCCCUAAAUAGUGACCUGUAUGAACGGCUAUACGAGGAAGAAGCUUUCUUUGACCUAAAAAGUGAAUUUAACCUCUUAGUUAAAAGGCUAAGAUAACCCAAAAAGACGAGAAGACCCUAAAGAGUUUAACAAAAAAAACUUUUAAAGAUCAAUUUUAAAGUCAUAGUUUUUAAAUUUAUUUGUUUGAUUGGGGUGAUAAAAAAAUAAUUAAAACUUUUAAAUUUUGUUACUUAAAUCCAAGAUUUUAUGAUCCGGUAUUAACGAUUAAAAGAAAAAAUUACCUUAGGGAUAACAGCGUUAUAUUUAUUGAGAGUUCUUAUUGACAUAAAUGUUUGCGACCUCGAUGUUGGAUUAAAAUUACUCUAUAAUGCAGCAGUUAUAGUAGUAGGUCUGUUCGACCUUUAAAAUUUUACAUGAUCUGAGUUCAGACCGGCGUGAGCCAGGUUG
rnacentral:rRNA from 1 species